CGCCUGCCCAGUGAACAAUUAAACGGCCGCGGUAUCCUAACCGUGCAAAGGUAGCAUAAUCAUUUGUCUACUAAUUAUAGACCUGUAUGAAAGGCAAAAUGAGGGCCCAACUGUCUCUUAUAAUAAAUCAAUUAAACUGAUCCCCUAGUAAAAAAGCUAGGAUUACACCAUAAGACCAGAAGACCCUGUGAAGCUUAAACUAAACUAUUAAACCAAUUAAUAACUACUUUCGGUUGGGGCGACCUUGGAAAAAAAAAGAACUUCCAAGACCCAGUACAACUGAUAAUCGAACCAAGUUACUCCAGGGAUAACAGCGCAAUCCUCUUCAAGAGCCCAUAUCAAAAAGAGGGUUUACGACCUCGAUGUUGGAUCAGGACAUCCCAAUGGUGCAGCCGCUAUUAAAGGUUCGUUUGUUCAACGAUUAACAGUCCUACGUGAUCUGA
rnacentral:rRNA from 1 species